UCGAAAAAUCCGUCGCGGCUGUUUUUUAAAGAAAUCUUUCUGUUUUUGGUAAAUCAACCCAUGGUCCUUUCAUAAGUCAGAAAACACUUCGUCCAAGAAGUUUGCAAAAACCCCUAUAGUUUUUGGAUUUUGAUCCGCGGUCCUUUGUAAAGUGAGAGGAUGUUAUCUUCCUCCUCCGCAACCCCCUCCCUUGUGGUCUCUGACAAAUCGCCGCCACCCACCAUCUCAUUUCUCCCAAACCUCGGUGUCGGCCCUCCACUUCCCCUCCUCUUACCUCGCAGCUUCAACAGCUGAUGGAUCCGCCGAAUUCCCCAUCCAUCCACCCCUCUCGCAGCACAUCUCUCCUUCUCUCACGUGACCCUCGCGCCGUGACCAAGGUCGGCUGAUUCCGCCAACGUCCGAUACUGCGCAGCAGACUUUCAAGCUGCUCUCCGAUCCCUCUGUCAGCCAAUACGGCUGGAUCUGCUUCUCCCGGUCUCCGGAGCUCGCCCUGCGACACCUAGCCCGUGGAUAGGGUUUCGGCCAUGUCGACGCGUACAUCACUCGGGCAUCUCCGGUGGCUCCUCUCCGUCGCACACAUCACCCUCUCACGCCCUCUUCACCUCCUGGAUGGCGCUCCCUAGCUCGGUUGCUCAAGCAACAGGGAAGCUUGUGUUGUGUAGACACUGAUGGCCGCCUGCAUCUAUGUGUACACAUGGGACGUGAAAUUUGUGCCGUACAUCAAUAGAAAUAUCAAUUUUGAAAUAUAAUAUUUAUGUUUGGAUGGUGAUUGUUCAAGGUAGCUAAAUAAAACUUGUAUGCUGUAUAACUUGGUGUCGCUUUGCAAUUAUAUAAACAAAAAGGGAAUUAUAGUAUGUUUUA